UCGAUGCACAAUUUUUUCUUAAGAAAUGGUUAUAACCCGCAACCUACGACAUAAAUUUUCACAAAUUUAUUACUCUCUAGCAAAUCCAUGACAUAAAAUUACUCAGCCAGAGUACAUAGCAGUCGACAAUGGCAGAACCAUUUACAAAGAUGAUAUCGAUAACCCACUUAGACCCAAUCUUCUAAAGCAAGGCCUUCAAAAAAAUAUUGUGCACUCGCGCUGACGGCGCUAGAUAUCCAGUCUUUGAAGAUCGAGAAAGAGAUUCUCAUUUCAUCAUAUUUUAUUCGGGAAGGGGAAACUCUGGCGUCUUCACCAUGACGAAGACGCAAGUGUGUCGCCAUGCGAGUCAGACAGCACCACUCCGACGAAAAGCUCCAUCUAUCGCCUCUCCUUUAGCUUUGAUCUUCAUUUUGCGCUGAGUCAGUUUGCGGUUGUGCAUCCCGUCGUGGGAGAGGAGACAGGUACCUGCAGUUACUAGUACCGCUGUCAACCCUCCUGAUUGGGCUGGCUGGAGAAAAAGGAACGACGGGAGAGGAGACAGAUACCUGCAGUUACUAGUACCGCUGUCAACCCUCCUGAUUGGGCUGGCUCGAGAAAAAGGAACCAUGAUCUCCAUAGCAGUGGCCACGAUGGGUAGGGGCGAGAGGGCUUUUCUUGAUUUGCCAGGAACGGGGGUACAGGCAGUACAUGGAGAUCAUUACUUGCUAGUAACAUGCAGCAAUCAAUUCAAGCCCUCAUGACGUCUCUCUCGAG
rnacentral:lncRNA from 1 species